rnacentral:rRNA from 1 species
AUGGACGUCGCUCGCGUUGCGCCGUGGAAGAGGCGGAAGAAGACGAGGGCAGCCGCCCCCGCCACCGCCACCGCCGCCACCGACACGCUCCCGGGAGACGUGGUGAUCGAGAUCCUCGUGCGCGUGGCCGAUGCCGCCACCCUCUUCCGUUGCGCCGUGGCGUGCAAGCCAUGGCUGGUCCUCGUGGCUGACCGCGCCUUCCUCCACCGCCGCUGGCCGGACGGGCCGGGCCAGCCCUCUCUCGUCGGCUUCUUCGCUCAGCAGCGGCGCCACACGUCGCAGGUCGUCUCCGCGGAUCCUCUUGCCGGCCCCCGCUCGCCGGCGUUCGUACCUGCGCCGCGAUCGCCGCUCGGCUCCUUCGUCUCCAGCGCCAUGGCCUCCCAGGACAUGGACGGCGCUGGCAUGCUUGACGACGCGGUGCCGCUCACGUUGCGCGAGGGCCUCCUCCUCGUGCGCCUCGCCCCGUGCGGCGGCGCCCCGGCCGUCGGCACAGGCCAGACCGUCGUCCAACUGGCGGUCUGCGACCUGUUUACCGGCACGUGCGACGCGCUACCCCCGCUGGAAUGCAACACCUCCUCCAGCAUCAACAACUGCGCCAUUCUAACCGACGCGGACCGGAGCUCGCACAAACGACGCCGGUCGCCAUCGCCAUUGCCGGGCCGCUCAUCCCUGUUGAAGGUGCUGGCCAUCGUCUUCGACCCCGAUACGUCCUACUACUACCUCUGCACUUUCUCGUCCACCAAGUCGACCUGGAGCGAGCCGACGCCGUGCUUCAGCAAGACGGCGCUCAGGAUCACAGAUGGCAGCGCCGCCGUGUGCCGCGGCACGGCACACUGGUUCGCUUGCGACGGUUGGGAGUCCUGCCGCACGCUCGGUGUCAGCACCAGCACUGGCCGUCCGUCAUCGACAGAGGUUUAUAUUCCACAGGGCCGCUACGACUUCGGCCUUUACAUCACACCCUGGCUCGGCGCCGCCAUGGACGACACACUCUCCUUGUUUCACCUGCACGGUGGAUGCCGCUCGCUGCAUGUCUGGACACGCCAUGGACGGCACAAUGUGAACUGGUCCCACAGUAAGGAGAUCGAGCUAAGACCGCCGGAGCAGAAGGCGAUUUGCGAGGACGUGCAAUGCCUGUGCGCUGACCAGGGGAGCGGCAUGCUGCUCGUCAUGGAUCGCCUCGAGCGCGUGUACAUUGUCGAUCUCCAAACUGGAGGGGUGGACGAGGUAACGGAGCAAUUUCAGAGACUCGAACUGCAGACUGUCGUGCCCUUUGAGAUGGAUUGGCAGACUUUCUUCUUCUCUCGUCUGGAGGGCCACAAAGUGGAUUUGAUAUAUAGAAGAAGAAAAUAA